rnacentral:tRNA from 1 species
UGCAACUUAGUUUAUCUAGAACAAUCAACUUGCACUUGAUAAGAGAGGUGUCUCAGUAGCGGCU